rnacentral:rRNA from 1 species
GUCCUUUUGUUUAUAAUUUAAGGUUUAACCUGCCCACUGAAUAAUAUUUUAAAUGGCCGCAGUAAUUUGACUGUGCAAAGGUAGCAUAAUCAUUAGUUUUUUAAUUAAAAGCUUGUAUGAAAGGUUGGACGAGGUAAAUUCUGUCUUUAUUUAAUUUAAAUUAGAAUUUAAUUUUUAAGUUAAAAAGCUUAAAUAUAUUUAAAAGACGAGAAGACCCUAUAGAUCUUAAUAUUAAUUAUAAUAAAUUUAAUUAAGAAUAAUUAAUUUUUUAUUAUAAAAAAUAUUUUAUUGGGGUAAUAAAAAGAUUAAAUAAAUUCUUUUUUUAUUUUUACAUAGAUAAAUGAAUAUUUGAUCCAAUUUUAUUGAUUAAAAGAUUAAGUUACCUUAGGGAUAACAGCGUAAUUUUUUUAGAGAGUUCAUAUCGAUAAAAAAGUUUGCGA